rfam:Canis lupus familiaris chromosome 35, whole genome shotgun sequence.
UUAACGACUCUUUUCAGAGCCACACAACUAAUCUUAUGAAAGAAUU